CCAGGGGGUAUUUAGAGUUCUGCACUGCAGGGACCCAAGACAAAGAUGUCAACAUGUACAGAAUUCCCCUUCCAAGCUAGACCUCACUUUCUAAGCCUUUAGUUCCAAGAGCUGCCAAACUCUUUCGAAGCAGACUUGAAUGGCUUGUUACAAACAGCUUUACCAAAUCCAAAGAGGAAAUUAUGAUUACUGAAGUCCAAGUAACAGGGUUGUCCUCAAGGUCUCCUUAGAGGGAUCUAGAUCAUCUAUCUACACAAGCACAUCCAGAGACCUUCUAGAGCUGCUGGGAUAUGUAUUUUCCACAUUCUUCUCCAGACUUGACAGGGAUUGUGGAGAAAUGAUCCAAGAGAUGACAUUUGUGUAGGUAGCAAAGGCCAAAAGCAAAAGAAUGCUUUGAGUAGUUCACAGAAAGCUUAUUCUGGAGAGGCUGUGCACAGCAGCCAUCUUUCUUGUGUUUCCUAAGUUAACAGGAUCUCCUAAGUUAUCAUCAGGAGCACUUGCCUAGCCACCAAGAGGGUGUACUAAGAGGAGGAAAAAGAAUGAUUGGAAUACUGAAUUAUCCAGCUCCCCAAGGUCAACGAUUGGUUUUGAAGAAGCAGACAGUACUUACUUCUCCACUGCAAGUAGUUGUGCACAGUGACCAGGAAGACUCCACAAGAAACUAUGCCAGCAUGAUCUGCUCUGGAGGAAAAUAGACAUGAUAUGAAUAGUCCCAUUCAGGCAGUGAGAGAUUCUGCUGCAGUCUGCUUUGCUACAGCGCCAGGAGGAGGGGAGAGAUCUGAUGGUUUCCUGGCAGGCUGAGAUCCUCCAUGGCAGAAACAAAAUGAAAAUGAGUUUCUGCAAUUACUGGUAUUAUGCUUCCAGAAAUUGAAGCUUUCCAACUUUUACCCCAAGGACUGAGUAAGAGUGACUUAACUCAUUGGCUAGGGCAUAUCUAUAUGGUGGUCCACUAACAAGGCAUAGGCCGUGUGCCAAUUAACUGACCUGUGUGAUGUCUGAAUUAUGCUUAUUAGAAUAUACUUGUGUCCUUGCUGCUCUGACUUUUCCAUACUUAUGAGUAGAAAUACAUGCAUCUUCCAAAACAACACAUAAA